rnacentral:rRNA from 1 species
ACGAACGCUGGCGGCGUGCUUAACCCAUGCAAGUCGAACGGAAAGGCCCUGCUUUUGUGGGGUGCUCGAGUGGCGAACGGGUGAGUAACACGUGAGUAACCUGCCCUUGACUUUGGGAUAACUUCGGGAAACUGGGGCUAAUACCGGAUAGGAGCUCCUGCUGCAUGGUGGGGGUUGGAAAGUUUCGGCGGUUGGGGAUGGACUCGCGGCUUAUCAGCUUGUUGGUGGGGUAGUGGCUUACCAAGGCUUUGACGGGUAGCCGGCCUGAGAGGGUGACCGGCCACAUUGGGACUGAGAUACGGCCCAGACUCCUACGGGAGGCAGCAGUGGGGAAUAUUGCACAAUGGGCGGAAGCCUGAUGCAGCAACGCCGCGUGCGGGAUGACGGCCUUCGGGUUGUAAACCGCUUUCGCCUGUGACGAAGCGUGAGUGACGGUAAUGGGUAAAGAAGCACCGGCUAACUACGUG